AGUGUAGGCGGCUACCUAAGUCGGAUGUGAAAUCCCCGGGCUCAACCUGGGAAUUGCAUUCGAUACUGGGUAGCUAGAAUUUGGUAGAGGUAAGUGGAAUUCCGGGUGUAGCGGCGAAAUGCGUAGAUAUCCGGAGGAACAUCAGUGGCGAAGGCGGCUUACUGGACCAAAAUUGACGCUGAGGCUCGAAAGCGUGGGGAGCAAACAGGAUUAGAUACCCUGGUAGUCC
rnacentral:rRNA from 1 species